rnacentral:rRNA from 1 species
GGAGCCAUCCUUGAAAUACCACCCUUUAAUGGCUGGUGUUCUAACGUGGGCCCGUGAACCGGGUUGCGGACAGUGUCUGGUGGGUAGUUUGACUGGGGCGGUCUCCUCCUAAAGAGUAACGGAGGAGCACGAAGGUUGGCUAAUCCUGGUCGGACAUCAGGAGGUUAGUGCAAUGGCAUAAGCCAGCUUGACUGCGAGCGUGACGGCGCGAGCAGGUGCGAAAGCAGGUCAUAGUGAUCCGGUGGUUCUGAAUGGAAGGGCCAUCGCUCAACGGAUAAAAGGUACUCCGGGGAUAACAGGCUGAUACCGCCCAAGAGUUCAUAUCGACGGCGGUGUUUGGCACCUCGAUGUCGGCUCAUCACAUCCUGGGGCUGAAGUAGGUCCCAAGGGUAUGGCUGUUCGCCAUUUAAAGUGGUACGCGAGCUGGGUUUAGAACGUCGUGAGACAGUUCGGUCCCUAUCUGCCGUGGGCGCUGGAAGAUUGAGGGGGGCUGCUCCUAGUACGAGAGGACCGGAGUGGACGCAUCACUGGUGUUCGGGUUGUCAUGCCAAUGGCACUGCCCGGUAGCUACAUGCGGAAGAGAUAAGUGCUGAAAGCAUCUAAGCACGAAACUUGCCCCGAGAUGAAUCUUCCCUGAGCCUUUAAGGCUCCUGAAGGAACGUUGAAGACGACGACGUUGAUAGGCCGGGUGUGUAAGCGCAGCGAUGCGUUGAGCUAACCGGUACUAAUGAACCGUGAGGCUUAACCUUACAAC